rnacentral:rRNA from 1 species
GACGCCGCGUGAGGGAUGACGGCCUUCGGGUUGUAAACCUCUUUCAGUAGGGAAAGAAGCGAAAGUGACGGUACCUGCAGAAGAAGCGCCGGCUAACUACGUGCCAGCAGCCGCGGUAAUACGUAGGGCGCAAGCGUUAUCCGGAAUUAUUGGGCGUAAAGAGCUCGUAGGCGGUUUGUCGCGCCCCGCCGUGAAAGUCCGGGGCUCAACUCCGGAUCUGCGGUGGGUACGGGCAGACUAGAGUGAUGUAGGGGAGACUGGAAUUCCUGGUGUAGCGGUGAAAUGCGCAGAUAUCAGGAGGAACACCGAUGGCGAAGGCAGGUCUCUGGGCAUUAACUGACGCUGAGGAGCGAAAGCAUGGGGAGCGAACAGGAUUAGAUACCCUGGUAGUCCAUGCCGUAAACGUUGGGCACUAGGUGUGGGGGACAUUCCACGUUUUCCGCGCCGUAGCUAACGCAUUAAGUGCCCCGCCUGGGGAGUACGGCCGCAAGGCUAAAACUCAAAGGAAUUGACGGGGGCCCGCACAAGCGGCGGAGCAUGCGGAUUAAUUCGAUGCAACGCGAAGAACCUUACCAAGGCUUGACAUGAAC